GACACAAACUAUCCUACCAUUAGCAUGCAGGCAUUAUCCUUUUAAAGUUCAGGACUCAUCCAGGAGAGACAUAUUACACCUUUUGAAUUGGAAUUAAAGUUGAUGAAGACUGUGCUUUCAGAAUUAGAUUAGAAAGAAGAAUGGCAUUCCAGUUCUUUUAAUGGAAAACGAUCUGUAUCUAAGAAGACCGCGUCAUUUCGAAGAAGCUAGGAGAAUGACAGAUUCAUUUGAAGUUAUCCUAACAGUUUCUUAUGGGAUCCCAGUCAAAAAGCAGCAGAACACUUCUGAACAAAUCUUACCCUAACACAAGAGCCAACGAGCUGUUAAUCUUUGUGACUACCCAAUGGGGCUAUGUUCUGGGAAAUCUUCCAGUCAUGUUGCUUCAGGCCUGGACAAAGAUAAUACAAAGGCAGAGGAUGUAGAAAGUACAGGGGAUUUGCAAAGCAUUGUUGAAGAAAACCUUUUAACAGUGAGUGCUAGAAGGCUGUCUAGCACUAGUCCCACAACAGAAAUGAGUAUCAUCAAACUUAAUGCUGAACUCUAUCCAGCAGCAUCUGAAGAGAAGGUUGUGCAACCUGUCUCCUAUGUUAAUGAAAAUGAUGGCAUGGAGGUAAUAGAUAUUGAUUGAAUUAUGUUAUGGAGAGAAGGCAGGAGAAUGGGGUUAAGAGGGAUAAUGGAAUAGUGGAGCAGACCAGAAUGGCUUAACUCUUCCUCCUAUGUCCUACGGUCUUCUGUGCAUAUAUGGAAAUGUGUAAACUUUUGUAUGUAUUUAAAAUGGAGUUCAAGAUGUUUUUGUUGUAUUUUUCAAUCAAAAUAAACUUGAAUGCUGUAAUAUCUGUAAAAGA